rnacentral:rRNA from 1 species
CGUGUAGGCGGCCGGCCAAGUCCGAUGUGAAAGCCCGGGGCUCAGCUCCGGAACUGCAUCGGAAACUAGCUGGCUUGAGCGCGAUAGAGGAGGGGUGGAAUUCCUGGUGUAGCGGUGAAAUGCGUAGAUAUCAGGAGGGAACACCGGCGGCGAAGGCGGGCCCUCUGGGACUCGUUGCUGACGCUGAGACGCGAAAGCGUGGGGAGCAAACAGGAUUAGAUACCCUGGUAGUCCACGCCUUAAACGAUGGGUACUAGGUGUUCGGGGUGUUGGACCCCCUGAGUGCCGAAGCUAACGCAUUAAGUACCCCGCCUGGGGACUACGGCCGCAAGGUUAAA